UACGUAGGGGGCGAGCGUUGUCCGAAGUUACUGGGCGUAAAGAGUACGUAGGUGGUCGGAUAAGAGGCUUCUCAAAGGGAACAGCUCAACUGUUCGAAGUGGGGCCUAACUGUGCGACUUGAGGCAAGCAGAAGAGUGCGGAACUCCGAGUGUAGCGGUGGAAUGCGUAGAGAUUCGGAAGAACACCCAAGGCGAAGGCAGCACUCUGGGCUUGAGAAGACAGGAAUGAAAGUUCCUGUUGCCUGACACUGAGGUACGAAAGCCAGGGGAGCGAACGGG
rnacentral:rRNA from 1 species